UGCCCUGCUCACUGAUUUUUUGAAGAGCCGCGGUAUUAUGACCGUGCAAAGGUAGCAUAAUCAUUAGUCUUUUAAUUGGGGACUUGAAUGAAUGGGUUGACGAAGAAUUAACUGUCUUUACUUAAUAUCUAAAAUUUAACUUUUGAGUUAAAAGGCUUAAAUCUUUCUUUGGGACGAUAAGACCCUAUAGAGCUUAAUAUAUUUUUUGUAAUUAUUUUUGUUGAUUUUCUUUUUAUUUAAUAAUUAUAUUUCAUUGGGGUGAUGUGAAGAAUUAAUAAACUUUUCAUUUUAAAAUCAUAAAUUAAUGUGUUUUUGAUCCAUAAUUUAUGAUCAUAAGAUAAGUUACCUUAGGGAUAACAGCGUAAUAAAUUUUGAGAGUUCUUAUUAACAAAUUGGAUUGCGACCUCGAUGUUGGAUUAAGAAAUAUUUUAGGUGUAGAGGCUUAAAGA
rnacentral:rRNA from 1 species